rnacentral:rRNA from 1 species
UACGUAGGUGACCAGCGUUGUCCGGAUUUACUGGGCGUAAAGAGCGCGCAGGCGGUCGUUCAAGUCGAGUGUGAAAGCCCCCGGCUCAACUGGGGAGGGUCACUCGAUACUGAUCGACUUGAAGGCAGGAGAGGGAAGCGGAAUUCCCGGUGUAGUGGUGAAAUGCGUAGAUAUCGGGAGGAACACCAGUGGCGAAGGCGGCUUCCUGGCCUGUUCUUGACGCUGAGGCGCGAAAGCUAGGGAGCAACGGGAUA